CAAUAGCGUAUAUUAAAGUUGUUGCAGUUAAAAAGCUCGUAGUUGGAUUUCUGGUGGGAGCGAUCGGUCUGGCGCUUAGCGCGAGUACUUGCAUCGUCUCCGGCCAUCCUUGGGGAGAGUCUGUCUGGCAUUAGGUUGUCGGGCAGAGGAUCCUCAUCGUUUACUGUGAAAAAAUUAGAGUGUUCAAAGCAGGCUUAUGCCGUUGAAUAUGUUAGCAUGGAAUAAUAAGAUAGGACUUUGGUACUAUUUUGUUGGUUUGCGCACCAAAGUAAUGAUUAAUAGGGACAGUUGGGGGUAUUCGUAUUCCGUUGUCAGAGGUGAAAUUCUUGGAUUUACGGAAGACGAACUACUGCGAAAGCAUUUACCAAGGAUGUUUUCACUAA
rnacentral:rRNA from 1 species